UUGACCUCAAAUCAGGUAGGACUACCCGCUGAACUUAAGCAUAUCAAUAAGCGGAGGAAAAGAAACUAACAAGGAUUCCCCUAGUAACUGCGAGUGAAGCGGGAAAAGCUCAAAUUUAAAAUCUGGUGGUCCUUGUGGCCGUCCGAGUUGUAAUCUAGAGAAGCGUUAUCCGCGCCGGACCGUGUACAAGUCUCCUGGAACGGAGCGUCAUAGAGGGUGAGAAUCCCGUCUUUGACACGGACUACCGGGGCUUUGUGAUGCGCUCUCAAAGAGUCGAGUUGUUUGGGAAUGCAGCUCUAAAUGGGUGGUAAAUUCCAUCUAAAGCUAAAUAUUGGCGAGAGACCGAUAGCGAACAAGUACCGUGAGGGAAAGAUGAAAAGAACUUUGGAAAGAGAGUUAAACAGUACGUGAAAUUGUUGAAAGGGAAACGCUUGAAGUCAGUCGCGUUGGCCGGGGAUCAACCUUGCUCUUUUGCUUGGUGUACUUUCCGGUCGAUGGGUCAGCAUCAAUUUUGAUUGAUGGAUAAAGGCCAGGGGAAUGUGGCAUCUUCGGAUGUGUUAUAGCCCUUGGUCGCAUGCAUCGGUUGGGAUUGAGGAACUCAGCA
rnacentral:rRNA from 1 species